GGUAGGGCCUGAAUGUUGCAGGCAUGGGUAGGGUAGGGCCUGAAUGUUGCAGGCCUGGGUAGGAAUACCCUUCGCAAUAUUGAUAAACCCAGGUCAAUGUAAACCUGCCAACACCUGUCUCAAAAUGUUAAAUCAGAAUGUGGACAAGAUCAGGACAAAGGAGCAGGUAUAACCGGGGAUAAAGUGUCGGACGAUCGUCAGGCAGUACUAAAACACACCAGAGUAGCAACUGUGGGAGUUUUUAUUACACAUAAAUAAUCUAAAUGCAGAUAUAAUUCACAGUGUCAGAUGAAUGAGAAUCUGUCCUGUUCUUUGUGUGGUCAGUAGGCAGACGGUUCCAACAGAAACACUGGGACCUACAAACUGUAGGAUGCUGUUCUGAGGCGGAGCAACCAGAGAAUCUACAACGACACUGAGUGGACAAAACAUGAAUAACAAUAUUCAUGACAGACUGACCAGGUGAUAGGAUCCCUUAUUAAAUCCACUUCAGAGUAGAUGAAGGAGAGGAGACAGGUUAAAUCCACUUCAGAGUAGAUGAAGGAGAGGAGACAGGUUAAAUCCACUUCAGAGUAGAUGAAGGAGAGGAGACAGGUUAAAUCAGUAUUUCUGGAAAUUAGGAAGUUCUUUGUCCACUCAGUGUAUAUCUGUGGCUCUGGCUGCAGUCUUUAUAAUGGACAGUUUGGAAAAGCCGUUCUGCAACACACUCACUCUCUCUCACACACAUGGUCAGGCCGGCCCCCACAGGAGCCCACAAUGACAUCAUAGUCUCACCUCUGACCCAAGAGAACUUCUUCUUGGUUGGGGUUUGAAGGCGGUGUACAUACCAGUAUUACUGCCAUACCCAAGAAAACAUUUAAAGGGGAGGGGCUUAAUGGCCAACUCAGCCAAUCAGAAGUAAUGUCCAAAAUUAUGUCCACUCUGCUGUUUGAUGGGCUCCAUCAGUGAUGAUGUCAUCCCGCUCAGUCAGAGCCAUCCUGGUUCUCCAGGAUCAGAUCUGAAGGAGAGAAGAAGAGGAGGAGGAGAGAGAGAGAGAGAGAGAGAGAGAGAGAGUGUGAGACAGAGAGUGAGUGAGUGAGUGAGUGAGUGAGUGAGUGAGUGAGUGAGUGAGUGAGUGAGUGAGUGAGUGAGUGAGUGAGUGAGUGAGUGAGUGUACCUGUCAGUGUGCUGCUGACAUUUGUAGGAGAAACGAUAAGCACCGCCCCCUUAGCUAUCCCAGAAUCCACCGCCUGCUCCUGAGAGGGAGAGUCCAGGACCUUGGCAGUAAAGCUGUCUGUCAUUGGCUCCAGAGUCUCGGUGGCUCCACCUUGUGAGGAACCAAUCAGGAAGUUCUGCUCUGGCUCCUCCCCCUGCAUCUCCACAACCAGCUGUGAUUGGCAAAGAGGCUCUGGAGAGCUGUGGUCAGAGGUGA
ensembl:lncRNA